GGGAACUGCGUUCUGAACUGGGUGACUAGAGUGUGUCAGAGGGAGGUAGAAUNCCACGUGUAGCAGUGAAAUGCGUAGAGAUGUGGAGGAAUACCGAUGGCGAAGGCAGCNUCCUGGGAUAACACUGACGUUCAUGCCCGAAAGCGUGGGUAGCAAACAGGAUUAGAUACCCUGGUAGUCCACGCCCUAAACGAUGUCGAUUAGCUGUUGGGCAGCAUGACUGCUUAGUUGCGAAGCUAACGCGUGAAAUCGACCGCCUGGGGAGUACGGUCGCAAGAUUAAAACUCAAAGGAAUUGACGGGGACCCGCACAAGCGGUGGAUGAUGUGGAUUAAUUCGAUGCAACGCGAAGAACCUUACCUGGUCUUGACAUGUACGGAACCCUCCAGAGACGGAGGGGUGCCUUCGGGAGCCGUAACACAGGUGCUGCAUGGCUGUCGUCAGCUCGUGUCGUGAGAUGUUGGGUUAANNNNNNNNACGAGCGCAACCCUUGUCAUUAGUUGCCAUCAUUAAGUUGGGCACUCUAAUGAGACUGCCGGUGACAAGCCGGAGGAAGGUGGGGAUGACGUCAAGUCCUCAUGGCCCUUAUGACCAGGGCUUCACACGUCAUACAAUGGUCGGUACAGAGGGUAGCCAAGCCGCGAGGUGGAGCCAAUCUCACAAAACCGAUCGUAGUCCGGAUUGCACUCUGCAACUCGAGUGCAUGAAGUCGGAAUCGCUAGUAAUCGCAGGUCAGCAUACUGCGGUGAAUACGUUCCCGGGUCU
rnacentral:rRNA from 1 species